rnacentral:rRNA from 1 species
GAGCGAUCGCAGCAAUGCGGGAGCGGCAGACGGGUGAGGAACACGUGGGAACAUACCCUUUGGUUCGGAAUAACUCAGGGAAACUUGAGCUAAUACCGGAUAAGUCGGCAACGAGAAAGAUUCAUCGCCGAAGGAUUGGCCCGCGUCCGAUUAGCUAGUUGGUGAGGUAAUGGCCCACCAAGGCGACGAUCGGUAGCUGGUCUGAGAGGAUGAUCAGCCACAUUGGGACUGAGACACGGCCCAAACUCCUACGGGAGGCAGCAGUGGGGAAUAUUGGACAAUGGGCGCAAGCCUGAUCCAGCCAUGCCGCGUGAGUGAUGACGGCCCUAGGGUUGUAAAGCUCUUUCACCCACGACGAUAAUGACGGUAGUGGGAGAAGAAGCCCCGGCUAACUUCGUG